rnacentral:ncRNA from 2 species
UUUUGGCACCAGGGGUGCUUGCAUGAUGAAGCAGCGCAAUCUAUUUGCGUCGAUUAUCAAUGCAGGCUGAGAGAGUCCCUUCGCACCUGAACAGGUUAAUACCUGCGUAGGGAGCGUGCCAAAUCCUUCGU